AGCUUUUUGGAUCCGUGCUGAGAUUUCGUCAGACGUUGACCCAUUAGGGCUGAUCAGACUUCUAAGAUAAAUGGAGUU
rnacentral:pre_miRNA from 1 species